rnacentral:misc_RNA from 1 species
CCGAGCGAGAAUUCUCUGAAUUCAACCUCCCACCCGUGUUUAUUGUACCUUGUUGCUUCGGUGCGCCCGCCUCACGGCCGCCGGGGGGCUUCUGCCCCCGGGUCCGCGCGCACCGGAGACACUAUUGAACUCUGUCUGAAGAUUGCAGUCUGAGCAUCUUAGCUAAAUCAGUUA